rnacentral:rRNA from 1 species
UGAAUACGAGAUGCUACGGCGUCGAAGCAGUGUAUGUCAGACUUCCAAGAAAAGCUCGCAAUGUCAUAAAUAAAGAAUGCCUGUACCAUAACCGACACAGGUGGGUAGGUAGAUAUACUAAGGGGCGCGAGAUAACUCUCUCUAAGGAACUCGGCAAAAUAACUCCGUAACUUCGGGAGAAGGAGUGCCUUCUAUUAGAAGGUUGCAAUAACAAGAUCCAAGCAACUGUUUAUCAAAAACACAGGUCUCCGCUAAGUCGUAAGACGAUGUAUGGGGGCUGACGCCUGCCCAGUGCCAGAAGGUUAAAGAAGUUGGUUAGCUUUGGCGAAGCUGAUGACUGAAGCCCUGGUGAACGGCGGCCGUAACUAUAACGGUCCUAAGGUAGCGAAAUUCCUUGUCGGGUAAGUUCCGACCCGCACGAAAGGCGUAAUGAUUUGGAUACUGUCUCGGAGAGGGACUCGGUGAAAUAGACUUGUCUGUGAAUGCGGACUACCUGCACCAGGACAGAAAGACCCUAUGAAGCUUUACUGUAACUUGAAAUUGAAAUUGGACUUUAUUUGCGCAGCAUAGGUGGAAGGCGUUGAGAUUACUCUUGCGGGAGUACUGGAGCCAUCAGUGAGAUACCACUCCUAUAAUGUUAGAUUUCUAACUUUGGAUCAUGAUCUGGUCAAAGAACAGUUUCAGGCGGGCAGUUUGACUGGGGCGGUCGCCUCCCAAAUGGUAACGGAGGCGUACAAAGGUUUCCUCUGAACGGGUAGAAAUCGUAUCUAGAGUGUAAAGGCAUAAGGAAGCUUGACUGUGAGACCUACAAGUCGAGCAGGGAUAAAGUCGGUCUUAGUGAUCUGACGGUGCUGAGUGGAAAGGCCGUCACUCAACGGAUAAAAGUUACUCUAGGAUAACAGGCUGAUCUCCCCCAAGAGUUCACAUCGACGGGGAGGUUUGGCACCUCGAUGUCGGCUCAUCGCAUCCUGGGGCGGUAGUACGUCCCAAGGGUUGGGCUGUUCGCCCAUGAAAGCGGUACGCGAGCUGGGUUCAGAACGUCGUGAGACAGUUCGGUCCAUAUCCGGUGUAGGCGUUAGAAUAUUGAGAGGAGCCUUCUUUAGUACGAGAGGACCGAGAAGGACAUACCUCUGGUGUACCAGUUAUCGUGCCAACGGUAAACGCUGGGUAGCUAUGUAUGGAGAGGAUAACCGCUGAAAGCAUCUAAGUGGGAAGCCCACCUCAAGAUGAGUAUUCUCAC